rnacentral:rRNA from 1 species
GAUUUCUGGUUGGAUGCGCCUGGCCCGCCACGGUUUCGUGUGUGAGUGCCGGUUGUGUGUCUGCCAUCCUUCUAGACACUCGCCUUCUUCUUCAGUGAGGAGGGUAGAGGUGGCUAGAUCUUUUACUUUGAAAAAAUUAGAGUGUUUCAAGCAGGCAUUUUGCUAUGAAUACAUUAGCAUGGAAUAAUAAUUUAGGACUUCGGUUCUAUUUUGUUGGUUUCUAGGACUGAAGUAAUGAUUGAUAGGGAUAGUUGGGGGUGCUAGUAUUCAGUGGCCAGAGGUGAAAUUCUCGGAUUCCCUGAAGACUAACUUAUGCGAAAGCAUU